rnacentral:rRNA from 1 species
CGAACGAAGCACCUUACCUGAUUCUUCGGAUGAAGGUCUGGUGACUGAGUGGCGGACGGGUGAGUAACGCGUGGGUAACCUGCCCUGUACAGGGGGAUAACAGUUGGAAACGGCUGCUAAUACCGCAUAAGCGCACGAGAGGACAUCCUCUUGUGUGAAAAACUCCGGUGGUACAGGAUGGGCCCGCGUCUGAUUAGCUGGUUGGCAGGGUAACGGCCUACCAAGGCGACGAUCAGUAGCCGGUCUGAGAGGAUGAACGGCCACAUUGGAACUGAGACACGGUCCAAACUCCUACGGGAGGCAGCAGUGGGGAAUAUUGCACAAUGGGGGAAACCCUGAUGCAGCAACGCCGCGUGAGUGAAGAAGUAUUUCGGUAUGUAAAGCUCUAUCAGCAGGGAGGAUAAUGACGGUACCUGACUAAGAAGCUCCGGCUAAAUACGUGCCAGCAGCCGCGGUAAUACGUAUGGAGCAAGCGUUAUCCGGAUUUACUGGGUGUAAAGGGUGCGUAGGUGGCAGUGCAAGUCAGAUGUGAAAGGCCGGGGCUCAACCCCGGAGCUGCAUUUGAAACUGCAUAGCUGGAGUACAGGAGAGGCAGGCGGAAUUCCUAGUGUAGCGGUGAAAUGCGUAGAUAUUAGGAGGAACACCAGUGGCGAAGGCGGCCUGCUGGACUGU